CUCGGCAAAUUAUCCUCAUAAGUUAGACGAUAUGAAGAACCACUGGAUGCUAUUACUCCUUAUUGUUUUAUUAAGGUUAGCUUUAAUAAAUAGAAUUUUCAUAAGUUUAGCGAAAGUUAAGUUUAUAUAAGGAAGUGUAAACCUCCCCUUUAGUUUUAGCAAUAUUUCUAUAGGCUAGGUUGCUUUGUGUAUUGCCAUUUUGGUAAUCCAAGGCCUUAGUAGCAUUUAAGUGGUGGCACAGAAUCGGAGGCCCCGACUGUUUACUUAAGACACAGCUUUCUGCGACGAAUAAUAUCUUUGUAUAGAAAGCGAAUUUUGCCCAAUGCCAUUAAUAUAAGGUCGAUAAGCGCUUAGCGUAUUUAUUGGCCGAAGUUCUGGUCAAUGGCGGUCUUAUCUAUGAGGAUCCUAAGGUAGCAAAAUUAAUUGUCCAUUAAAUGUGGUCCUGACUGAAUAAAGUAACGAUGGUCUCGCUGUCUCUACAAGUAUCUCAGUGAAAUUGAAUUAGCCGUGCAGAUGCGGUUUAACUUCGGGUAGACGGGAAGACCCUAUGCAGCUUCUACCU
rnacentral:rRNA from 1 species